UGCUCUGCACGUGGAGGUCAAAUACAAUCAACUGGCUGACUUAGGUUGUAAGCUCCCAGUGGGCAGAGGCUGUGUCACCCCUGCAAAGAGGGUGCUUAAUGGGUUAUGGUCUUUCUCAAGGCUGACCAAAUUUGGGGGUCAGCUUCCCCAGUGGGACUCUACCAUUGCAGUGGAGGCGAAGUGGGGGUGAAGACCCACACCGGUACUGGUAAGUGUUGAGGGACUUGGCUGCGUGAGGAGAAAAGGCAGAAAUCCGGUUCUUUUAGCCCCCCACCCCCUGGAGAAGUUUCUUGGGCAAUCCUGCUUAGAGGACCAAGGAAGAAGCCUGAGCCCCAGAUGCAUCAUGGGAGAAGCAGCCUCCCCGAGAACAUCUUGGUGCGGACAGGAGGAGGUGUUGUACCCCAAACCCCGGACUCUUGGAGCUGUGUUUGGGACAAAUGGGAGGAAUCAAGGGAAGCCACAGCCCGGACCUGCACCGGACCUGCACCGGACCAUCUGCCCCCGUGCAGAGUGGAGGACAAACCGGCUCCUCAUGGGAUGCCAUGGACAUUGCGCCGGCCCCGCUAUUUGGGAGUCGCCUGGCACCAGCCUGCUGCCACCGGGCCACUUUCCCACCCCCCCCUUCGCCUCCUACCCCACCUUCCCCCUCAGCCCCUAACUGUAUCCCCUCCCUCCAGACAAUGCCAUUUCCUUUGGUGGUCAAGGGUCAAACGUUGCAUCAUGGGUGCCACACGAAUCUCUGGCAAUUCCUAGACGUGAUGGAUGUGCGUGUGUCUCUGGUGUGAGAACGAGGGCCGGGACCAGAGCAGGGUGAGAGGGGCCACCCCUCUUUGGAGGGGGAGAUGGGUUCUGGAAAGAGGGGUCUAGAGUUCUGGACAGGUAUUCCGAGGACGGACUUCAAGACCAGGUGUGAAGUCGCCUGGGGCCCUUAAUUCUAUAGUCAGUGUGGCUUCCUCCAGGUCUGGUCCACUGGGAGUUAUCUGCCCAGCUCUGGCUUCAAGAGUACAGACUCGCUUUCCCGGCCGAGGGGGGUGCCCCUGGGGGAGCGGGGUACAGGGACAGCAGUAGUUAAGGGUAUGUGGGUCUAUCUGUAUGUGUGUGUGUGACUGCCAUGUGUCAUCCAUCCCUCCUGGAGGAGCCAAAUGGCGGGGGGGGCAGGGGGAAUAGGAGCAAAUUCUAGAGUGGGAAGAUGCAAAAUGAUUUUCCCCACUGCCGCACGGGAGGAAAUGGCACAGUCUGGCCCCCUCCUCCCCUCCCUUUCCCCUUGCCUGCCUGGGCUCUAUAAGGCCAAAUGUAUCUGGAAUAAAAUGUCUAGCUUCUGCAUCA